rnacentral:lncRNA from 1 species
UUAACCAUAGCUGAUUGCCAAAUGGCGUCGUCUGCUCAGUUUUCAAACGUGGCUGGCGAUAGCUGCACGAAAAAUGUGUCUCAUUAUAGAUUCUCUUAAAAUAGUUAUUAUUUGAUACGUGCUCCAUGUUGUUUACAGCAGGCAAAUAAAAUCAAGAAUGCAUAUAGAAUGAUUGUGGAAUCUUUGAAACCCUUUUCUAAAUUCUGAGAAAUCAAAAUGCUAGUUCCCGACUGAAAUAGGCCUAGCAUUAAUCACGCCAGAGCCAGCUAUGACAACAAUGAGAUGCAAGAAUUUGUUGUGCUGGUGUUAACCUGGUGGCAGGAAUCUCAUUGUUCAGGUAAUAAUUUUCAUUACUCUUAUUCCUGGGACCUGGUACAUUUCAGAAUGAUGCAUGACUUGCACCAAUGCAGUGUAUAUAACAUGGAAACCUUCAAGCUUCAAUUCACCUUUUGUUUAUCAGUUACCACUGUACCACUCUCGUUAACAGCAUCCUCUUGUAUUGGAGAAACUACCAAUGUUGCUUGAGUUGCUGAUAUCUUCUCCCAGUUUCAUAAAAUGUUCUCGUGUGCCCCUGUAGUGGGUGUACACAACAUAUGAGGACUCCCUUUUUCCUCUAUCCCGCCUGGUGCCUGGUCAAUUUUUCAGCAGAUGGAUGCCUGGCUGUAUUGUCCCAAGCUUAAAGGUAAGAAACGGUAAAGUUUUGAGCACGCCCUUGUGGAUAUCAACCAGCAAAGGAGAACUCGGGCGACAAGAAAAGUUUGGCCGUGGUGUUAUGGUCUUACUCGUCAAAGACAUUGCCACGCCCAGUACCGUAAAAGGGAAUUUCGAUCCAAUAGUACGACGGUGAGCAAUCCUUGCCUCAACAGCUCAUGCACUCCCUUCUGUGUCCUUAUUCCGGGCGGAUAUCCUUGCUCCUGCCUCGACAGCACGAUCCUGGUUCAAUCUGUCGGAGAAAUUUCGUGGGACGCGACUGAGGAACGAACUCGACCGUCUCCUUUUGCGCUGCCCUUGCCAGAAUCGCGGGGUCUGCACCGGUGACGGCCAAGUCCAAAGUUAGAGUGCCCCAACGAUUAUACGAAGGCGUCCAUUGCGAGACCCACUUGUUGCACCGUCCCACUUCAUCCGAAAGUCUGGCGCCAGCUUAGAUCGUCGUCCCUAUUCUGCUCAUCAUCCUCGCCGGAUCGGCCAGUGCCACCGUUAACGUAUUCUUCUUCCGACGAUCCGGCCGGGGCCAAAGGCUCUGGGCUUUACCGGAUUCAGCUAAAAAGUCCCAGCGUCUCCUUCCGGCUCCAACGACGAACUCCGUAUCAUACAAACAGCUCUAGUGCCUCCAAGCUAUGGAACCGGUGGAUUCUGAAUUCAAUGGUCGUGACGCCUCGAUUGAAUUGCGUGAUUUCUUCAACGUGGAUGGACCUGUGGAUGCUCCCGAGGUUGGCAUCUAACAAGUCCCGACAGAAAUGAUUCGAGGUAAAAUUGUUGACCCAGCAGUUGACCAAUUUCAAAGAAUUUCGAAAUUUGAACUUGAAUUUGCUGAAAUUAAAUUUUCUCAUGUACUUAGAGUUGUCACGUGCAUUUGGGUUCGCUCUGAAUGAACAGUGGUAUAGUCAGUGACAAGAAACCUCGUAUCUCUUUACCCACACCCCCUCACAACCAACCCCCACACCUCAAGAACAAGUGUGAAAACUAUAACAGCCACUGUAGCCUGUUGUUACUUUUGAAACGAUUGAGCGACAUCCUUCUGCAGCAGUCAGUCAGUCAAGUGGGUGUAGUGGUUUCUGUUAUCGUGUGGAUAUUCUACAUCAGAUGAUCUUAAUUCCUGACUGGGCUGUAUCCAAAUUUGAUCACCGGCCCGUAGAUGCAGCGUUGAUCGGAGAGAGUAGAGCCGUCGGUACUUCAUUCAAACUUGAGUCAUGGACAUUUAAGUUUUUUCGCCCAAUUGGUUUGCUGUUCCUCCUUGUCGAAGUGUGGCCCGUUCCUUUUGAUCGAAACAAAAUGCUGGGGUAGCGAAAGAAUCUGGGUUCAAGUUUGGGUUGAACUUUGGCUUAUCCCAUCAGGUUAGAUUAAAAAGCCUUGGUUAAAUGCAUUAUAGGUUUCAUCAGCGAUUUGAUUAUUUCAUUUACCAUUUGUAACACCUGCGGCUUCGUCCGGCAAUUGAUUUAGUCCGGCCAAAGUUUCAUUUCAUUAUUGGCAGGCAUGGCAGCAAUGUCUUUAUUCCGUUGUAACACCUGCGCAAAUGUGAAAAGAAUUUGGUUUUUGAUUGGUUAUUGCUACUCGCCAUUCAAAUUCACCGAUAUCGCCUACUCAAUAUUAAUAUUAUUCGAUAAGUUUUCGAUGAGAGAUAUAACAAAAGAGUAAUGAAAACAAAGCUCACGUCGAAAAAAAUAAAAAGUAGGUUAAUAAAAUAGAGGUUUAGGGCAACUUGUCUCUCAUUGGUUGUCGUUCCGCCGUCUUUUGAUUCUUCACUAGCAUAUGGUAAAACUUUGAAAGGGGAAAAUUUAAUUAAAUGAUUUCUAUUGAUAUGUACGCAAACCCGAAAAGGCGAAAACGCAUCUUGAUAUCCAAAUUUCCCCCAAAGUUUCCCCCUAAACCUUCUCGCUCUACUUCAAGUUUAAACGCGAUCCUGGUUGCUUGUUCUAAGACAAUCGCCGACAAAGUUGCAUCAUAAUCAUUAAAUCAAUUAAAUCAUGGCCAUUUUUUUCACGACGUGUGUUAAAAUUUUACUAGGAUCGAUUUACACCAGAUUCAAUGUCUGGUGAUCAUCCACUGAAAUUAAAACCAUUUUCUUUGUCAAUAACAUCUAGGGGAGAGUGGGUGAAUGGGAUAAGGUGUCGAUUAGGUAGAGGAGAGGUGCACCUUGAGACCAGGGGUUCAAACCCCCUGGAGAGCAUUGUUGGUUGCUCGUACAUCCGCUCUGGCGCCACUGUGGCGUCACAUGCAGGAUUAUCUAACCCCGUGCUGGAGAGGGAACUCUGCGCUUAUGGACGUGCCAUUCUGUCUGAUGGCAAAAUUGUGCGAAUAGGAAGGAUGUUGUUAAAUCUCUUCAUUCGAAACAUGUAAUAAGCAUUGUACAUCAAUCCGACAUCAUUGAAAGGCUGGUCUUUGACGCUGCCAAGACUUGGGAAUUGACGACUCGAUGAGAAUCAAUCAAAGAUAAAACUUAUUGAAAUUUAUUAGCCAACUGAUUUUGGGAAUCGACAACUCGGAACCGAACACAAGGCCAAACUUCCGUCUAGCAAAUUUCGGGGCGACCGACUCGCAUCGCACGUCGAGGAAAAAUUCUCUUCAUUCUGCUGUUCUAGAUGAUUUGGAGUGGUCCUUAAUCAUUCGUACCUUAUUGAUGGCGCCUUUUCACAAAAUCAAUUCAGUCCAAGCAAAGCAUCUGCCGUUUGGAUUAGAAUUUCCUUUCGUUUUUUCUGAAACACGUGGCCUGAAUUAAACAAAACCAGCAGAGCAACAAGAUUCGUCAUCCGUGUCUAACUACAGCUGUGGCUAAUAUCCAUCGAUGAAGAACUCUCCUUUGAAGAAAUAAUGCGGGUAUGUUAGAAUGAUAUGAUAGAUUGACAUCGCUGGGCCCACUGGUGUUUUGGCAACUCCAUCAGAGUCAUUGACGUCAUUACACACUGGUCGUUUCUCAACGGGCCCCUGCAAGAUAACGGUACAAAAACAGUUUACAGCCAUACUACCUGUGC